rnacentral:rRNA from 1 species
UACGGGGGGGGGCAAGCGUUGUUCGGAAUUACUGGGCGUAAAGGGCGCGUAGGCGGUUGGAUAAGUCAGCUGUGAAAACCACGGGCUUAACUCGUGGCCUGCAGUUGAGACUGUCUGGCUUGAGUGUGGGAGAGGAGAGUGGAAUUCCUGGUGUAGCGGUGAAAUGCGUAGAUAUCAGGAGGAACACCGGUGGCGAAGGCGGCUCUCUGGACCACAACUGACGCUGAGGCGCGAAAGCGUGGGUAGCGAACAGG